rnacentral:lncRNA from 1 species
AAAAUCUCAGUUUUCUUGCUGGUUUGUUUCUUCUGUGUUGCUGACUUUUCCGUUCAGGAUUCUCGUCUGUUGUGUAGCCCCUUCCCCUGUGUGUUGCUCACUAGCUCUCUGGGGUGUGGAUCAGAUUCAUCUGCUCUGUAGCCUUUCAGGUCAUUGUUCAUUUUGCCAGGAAAGUUUUGAAACUUCUGUCCUACAUUUUAGCUGCUUCAGUUCUUUUAUACCUCUUGGUUUGGAUGUCUUUUCUUAAUCUGGGGAUGGGAGUCAUUUUCCUGAGCAGUCUACUCUUGAAGGCUCGGCCCCAUGUAGUAAGCGACAAGGAGACAAACUGCUGUAGGAGCAGCAGCAUCACACAAGAUCUAGAAAGAUGCUUAGAAUUAGCCACCGCACCAGUGCACCAGUAGGCAGGCAGUGGACUGGAAAUGGCAGCAUUACUGUAGAGUGUGCUGGGAGUCAGAAAUUACCUAGGGCAAGGAUGGAAAUAAUCAGAGAGAUAAAGGGAGGCGGGGAAGGCAGAAGAAGAGAAGCAAGGCAUAAUAGAUGACAGCUGAAGAUGUUUUAGGGGGGAAGACAAGAGCAGGACAUUAGGAGAAAAAUUUAAAAGGAAAACAAUCGCUUAAGUAGUAAAAGAGUUCAAGAACAAAAUUAGUUAAAUGUAAAAAUUGUUUUUUUUUUUAAAGACAGUAAGGUAAAGCCAGACUAAUGGGGCAAGGAAGACAGAGACACGGGGCCAAACAGAAAAAUACAAAACUAAGGGAAAGAA